GGAAUCGCUUCUUUUCUCUUUCUCUGUGAAUUUCUUGAGAGCACAGACUACAUUCUGCUUAACUUUUUAUCCCCAGCUUUCAGCACAGUGCCUGGCUAAAAAGCCUAAUUAUUUGGUAUUGUAUGCUACAAAAGAGAAAUGCCAUAAUUCCCAGUGGGGGCUGUGGAUACUGGACCCCCAUAACCAGGUGCCAGAGAUCACGUGGUGUUCAAAGUCCAAAUUAUAAGCAUAGUGCCGAGGACUCUGAGGAUGACUUCUGCACAUCUUCCGAAAAGGGAUGGAACAGCAGAAUGAGUGCCAUCAUGGCUUGGAUGGUUGGAGGUGCUUUGGGCAUGAAGACCCUCUAACUGUGAAGUUAGAGGCUUCCAAUGUUAGCUCUGUUUUAAGUAUAUGCACAAAGUCACAGUCUCAUAGCUGAGCUAUUAAAAAUAAAAUCAACACCAAGAUAUACUUGAGAAUGACUUUUUUAUCACUCGAAACACUUCCUUUUAUCAUCGAUUACACAUGCCUUUGAUCUUUGUCUUGUGUGAAAGUCUACUAUAAAAAUGUUUAUCGUCA
ensembl:lncRNA novel transcript, antisense to C7orf33 and CNTNAP2